GCAAGUUCUGUUUAAUUAAGAUUUUCUUAUCCCCUGCUAUGUUAGUAGCUUGCUAGACCCUGCAAGAGCCUCCUGUAUGCGAUUAAAGUUCAAUUUAGAGAUUGAGAUACAAUUAUUUAAGGUAAAUUACAUCUGUUUGAAAGUGAAACCAGUUUUUUUUUCAUGCAGGCUCUGUCAGUCAUAGCCAGGGGAGGUGUGGCUAGGGCUGCAUAAACAGAAACAAAGUGAUUUAACUCCUAAAUGACAGUGAAUUGAGCAGUGAAAUUGCAGG